rnacentral:rRNA from 1 species
CCUACGGGAGGCAGCAGUGGGGAAUAUUGGACAAUGGGCGCAAGCCUGAUCCAGCCAUGCCGCGUGGAUGAUGAAGGCCCUAGGGUUGUAAAGUCCUUUUAACGGGGAAGAUAAUGACGGUACCCGUAGAAUAAGCCCCGGCUAACUUCGUGCCAGCAGCCGCGGUAAUACGAAGGGGGCUAGCGUUGCUCGGAAUUACUGGGCGUAAAGCGCACGUAGGCGGGUUCUUAAGUCGGUGGUGAAAUCCUGGAGCUCAACUCCAGAACUGCCUUCGAAACUGGGAAUCUUGAGUCCGGGAGAGGUGAGUGGAACUGCGAGUGUAGAGGUGAAAUUCGUAGAUAUUCGCAAGAACACCAGUGGCGAAGGCGGCUCACUGGCCCGGUACUGACGCUGAGGUGCGAAAGCGUGGGGAGCAAACAGGAUUAGAUACCCCGGUAGUCCACGCCGUAAACGAUGAAUGNUAGUCGUUGGUCGAGCUGUCUCGUCAGUGGCGCAGACUAACGUACGUUAACGUCACUUCCGUCCGUCGGGGUAGGUACGGUCGCGAGAAUUAAACUACAAUAGAUUGUCGGCGUGAGACGUGCCGACGGCGACCGACGAGGGGAAGGUAGG